CGACCUGUGGCAUUUACGUCAGGUCAAUAUCGGGAACGCUGCGAACCGGCCAACCGGAAAGGGAGAGGUCGUUGGU
rnacentral:tRNA from 1 species